AGCUGAGAGGUGGUGCAUCGGCCGUCGUCAGUCGUACUGUGAAGCAUCCUGUUAAGUCAGGCAACGAGCGAGACCCACGCCCACAGUUGCCAGCGUACUCUCUGGAGUGACGGGUACACUGUGGGGACCGCCGCUGCUAAAGCGGAGGAAGGAAUGGGCAACGGUAGGUCAGUAUGCCCCGAAUAUCCCGGGCUACACGCGAGCUACAAUGGUUGGUACAAUGGGUAUCUACCCCGAAAGGGGACGGGAAUCUCCUAAAACCAAUCUUAGUUCGGAUUGAGGGCUGCAACUCGCCCUCAUGAAGCUGGAAUCCGUAGUAAUCGCGUUUCAACAGAACGCGGUGAAUACGUCCCUGCUCCUU
rnacentral:rRNA from 1 species